rnacentral:rRNA from 1 species
AGUCGAGUAGUUUGGGAAUGCUGCUCUAAACCGGGAGGUAUAUGUCUUCUAAAGCUAAAUACCGGCCAGAGACCGAUAGCGCACAAGUAGAGUGAUCGAAAGAUGAAAAGCACUUUGAAAAGAGGGUUAAACAGUACGUGAAAUUGUUGAAAGGGAAGCGCUCGCGACCAGACUUGGGCGCGGCGAAUCAUCCGGCGUUCUCGCCGGUGCGCUUCGCCGGGCCCAGGCCAGCAUCGGUUCGCCCGCGGGGGACAAAGGCCCCGGGAACGUGGCUCCCCAGGGAGUGUUAUAGCCCGCUGCGCAAUGCCCCGCGGCGGACCGAGGUUCGCGCAUUCUCCGCAAGGAUGCUGGCGUAAUGGUCAUCAGCGACCCGUCUUGAAACACGGACCAAGGAGUCGUCUUCGUAUGCGAGUGUUCGGGCGUGAAACCCCCUACGCGGAAUGAAAGUGAACGCGGGUGAGAGCCCCCCCUCCCCUCGCGGGCGGGGGGGGCGCAUCAUCGACCGAUCCUGAUGUCCUCGGAUGGAUUUGAGUAGGAGCAUACGGGGCCGGACCCGAAAGAAGGUGAACUAUGCCUGUGUAGGGUGAAGCCAGAGGAAACUCUGGUGGAGGCUCGCAGCGGUUCUGACGUGCAAAUCGAUCGUCAAACAUGGGCAUGGGGGCGAAAGACUAAUCGAACCUUCUAGUAGCUGGUUUCCGCCGAAGUUUCCCUCAGGAUAGCAGUGUUGAG